rnacentral:rRNA from 1 species
AGUGGACGCUGGCGGUAGGCCUAACACAUGCAAGUCGAACGGCAGCACAGGAGAGCUUGCUCUCUGGGUGGCGGGUGGCGGACGGGUGAGGAAUACAUCGGAAUCUACUUUUUCGUGGGGGAUAACGUAGGGAAACCUACGCUAAUACCGCAUACGACCUACGGGUGAAAGCAGGGGACCUUCGGGCCUUGCGCGAUUGAAUGAGCCGAUGUCGGAUUAGCUAGUUGGCGGGGUAAAGGCCCACCAAGGCGACGAUCCGUAGCUGGUCUGAGGGGAUGAUCAGCCACACUGGAACUGAGACACGGUCCAGACUCCUACGGGAGGCAGCAGUGGGGAAUAUUGGACAAUGGGCGCAAGCCUGAUUCAGCCAUACCGCGUGGGUGAAGAAGGCCUUCGGGUUGUAAAGCCCUUUUGUUGGGAAAGAAAUCCAGCUGGCUAAUACCCGGUUGGGAUGACGGUACCCAAAGAAUAAGCACCGGCUAACUUCGUGCCAGCCGCCGCGGUAA